ACUCCUACGGGAGGCAGCAGUGGGGAAUAUUGCACAAUGGGCGCAAGCCUGAUGCAGCCAUGCCGCGUGUAUGAAGAAGGCCUUCGGGUUGUAAAGUACUUUCAGCAGUGAGGAAGGUGGUGCAGUUAAUAGCUGUAUCAUUUGACGUUAGCUGCAGAAGAAGCACCGGCUAACUCCGUGCCAGCAGCCGCGGUAAUACGGAGGGUGCGAGCGUUAAUCGGAAUUACUGGGCGUAAAGCGCAUGCAGGUGGUUUGUUAAGUCAGAUGUGAAAGCCCGGGGCUCAACCUCGGAAUUGCAUUUGAAACUGGCAGACUAGAGUACUGUAGAGGGGGGUAGAAUUUCAGGUGUAGCGGUGAAAUGCGUAGAGAUCUGAAGGAAUACCGGUGGCGAAGGCGGCCCCCUGGACAGAUACUGACACUCAGAUGCGAAAGGCUGGGGGAGCAAACAGGAUUAGAUACCCUGGUAGGAUAGCG
rnacentral:rRNA from 1 species